AGCGAACGCUGGCGGCAGGCUUAACACAUGCAAGUCGAGCGGGCACUUCGGUGUCAGCGGCAGACGGGUGAGUAACACGUGGGAACGUACCCUUCGGUUCGGAAUAACGCUGGGAAACUAGCGCUAAUACCGGAUACGCCCUUUUGGGGAAAGGUUUACUGCCGAAGGAUCGGCCCGCGUCUGAUUAGCUAGUUGGUGGGGUAAUGGCCUACCAAGGCGACGAUCAGUAGCUGGUCUGGGAGGAUGAUCAGCCACACUGGGACUGAGACACGGCCCAGACUCCUACGGGAGGCAGCAGUGGGGAAUAUUGGACAAUGGGCGCAAGCCUGAUCCAGCCAUGCCGCGUGAGUGAUGAAGGCCUUAGGGUUGUAAAGCUCUUUUGUCCGGGACGAUAAUGACGGUACCGGAAGAAUAAGCCCCGGCUAACUUCGUG
rnacentral:rRNA from 1 species